CCGGUCUUUAUCUCGCUCAUAGACAAACACUGCAACCCGUUUUAUUUUUAGGUUUUUACUGUCUGUCUUUUUCUCGCGAUUUAUUGACAGAAUUCUCCUCACACGCAAUCCCUCAUCCCAGCAUAGUUACUCUAUCUCUCUCGAAACUUUAUCUACAGAGGGGACUAUCGAUCAGACAUUAGGUCGCAUACGUAUGCAACUAUAAACUACUUUCCAGGGGUCAUAAAGUUUCGAGAGAGAUAGAGUAACUAUGCUGGGAUGAGGGAUUGCGUGUGAGGAGAAUUCUGUCAAUAAAUCGCGAGAAAAAGACAGACAGUAAAAACCUAAAAAUAAAACGGGUUGCAGUGUUUGUCUAUGAGCGAGAUAAAGACCGGGUUAGGAUAGAUACGUAUAAUCAUUCUAGCAGAACAACUCUAUAUUGCGAAUAGAAGGUUAAUAACGAAAACAUAUUGCUAGAAUCAACAGUCGCAAGACAAAAGGCGUUUGUUCUUUUUGAGCGAUGAGAUAGAAGCAAUUUGUAAUAUAGCAUGCG
rnacentral:lncRNA from 1 species